rnacentral:rRNA from 1 species
ACGGGAGGCAGCAGUGGGGAAUAUUGGACAAUGGGCGCAAGCCUGAUCCAGCCAUGCCGCGUGAGUGAUGAAGGCCUUAGGGUUGUAAAGCUCUUUCACCGGAGAAGAUAAUGACGGUAUCCGGAGAAGAAGCCCCGGCUAACUUCGUGCCAGCAGCCGCGGUAAUA